GCAGGCUUAACACAUGCAAGUCGAGGGGCAGCGCGAGGUAGCAAUACUUUGGCGGCGACCGGCGGAAGGGUGCGUAACGCGUGAGCAACAUGCCCGUAUGAGGGGGAUAGUCAUUGGAAACGAUGCGUAAUACCCCGUAACAUUGGAGGCCGCAUGACCACCAAUUGAAAGAUUCAUCGCAUACGGAUUGGCUCGCGUGACAUUAGCUGGUUGGCGGGGUAACGGCCCACCAAGGCGACGAUGUCUAGGGGAACUGAGAGGUUGGUCCCCACACUGGAACUGAGACACGGUCCAGACUCCUACGGGAGGCAGCAGUGAGGAAUAUUGGUCAAUGGGCGGAAGCCUGAACCAGCCAUGCCGCGUGAAGGAAUAAGGCCCUAUGGGUCGUAAACUUCUUUUGACGGGGAGCAAUAAGGGCGUCGAGCACGCUCGAUGAGAGUACUCGUCGAAUAAGCAUCGGCUAACUCCGUGCC
rnacentral:rRNA from 1 species